UAAACGGUCCUUUUCAGGGCCAUUUAAUUUAAAAGAAGUUAGAAU
rfam:Trachymyrmex zeteki contig15376, whole genome shotgun sequence.